ensembl:snRNA U6 U6 spliceosomal RNA
GUGCUCGCUUCGGCAGCACAUAUACUAAAAAAUUGGAACGAUACAGAGAAGAUUAGCAUGGCCCCUGCGCAAGGAUGUUUACAUCUGCCUGUCUUUUCCUUUGUAAUU